rnacentral:rRNA from 1 species
UACGUAGGAGGCGAGCGUUGUCCGGAAUCAUUGGGCGUAAAGAGCGCGCAGGCGGCUUGGCAAGUCGGGUGUGAAAUCCCGGGGCUCAACCCCGUGACUGCAUCCGAUACUGUCAGGCUAGAGGUAGGUAGGGGAGAUCGGAAUUCCUGGUGUAGCGGUGAAAUGCGCAGAUAUCAGGAGGAACACCGGUGGCGAAGGCGGUUCUCUGGGCAUGUCCUGACGCUGAGGAGCGAAAGUGUGGGGAGCGAACAGG